CCUACGGGCGGCUGCAGUGAGGAAUAUUGGUCAAUGGGCGCGAGCCUGAACCAGCCAAGUAGCGUGAAGGAUGAAUGCCCUACGGGUUGUAAACUUCUUUUAUCAAGGAAUAAAGUGAGGCAAGUGUGCCUUUUUGUCUGUACUUUAUGAAUAAGGAUCGGCUAACUCCGUGCCAGCAGCCGCGGUAAUACGGAGGAUGCGAGCGUUCUCCGGAUUUAUUGGGUUUAAAGGGAGCGUAGAUGGGUUGGUAAGUCAGUUGUGAAAGUUUGCGGCUCAACCGUACAAGUGCAAUUGAUACUGGCAGCCUUGAGUACAGGUGAGGUAGGCGGAAGGCGUGGUGUAGCGGUGAAAUGCUUAGAUAUCACGAAGAACUCCGAUUGCGAAGGCAGCCUACUAAACUGCCACUGACAUUGAGGCGCGAAAGUGUGGGUAUCAAACAGGAUUAGAUACCCGAGUAGUC
rnacentral:rRNA from 1 species